CCUACGGGUCGCAGCAGUAGGGAAUCUUCGGCAAUGGACGAAAGUCUGACCGAGCAACGCCGCGUGAGUGAAGAAGGUUUUCGGAUCGUAAAACUCUGUUGUUAGAGAAGAACAAGUAGGAGAGUAACUGCUCUUACCUCGACGGUAUCUAACCAGAAAGCCACGGCUAACCACGUGCCAGCAGCCGCGGUAAUACGUAGGUGGCAAGCGGUGUCCGGAUUUAUUGGGCGUAAAGCGAGCGCAGGCGGUCUUUUAAGUCCGAUGUGAAAGCCCUCGGCUCAACCGAGGAAGGUCAUUAGAAACUGGAGGACUUGAGUGCAGAAGAGGAGAGUGGAAUUCCAUGUGUAGCGGUGAAAUGCGUAGAUAUAUGGAGGAACACCAGUGGCGAAGGCGACUCUCUGGUCUGUAACUGACGCUGAGGCUCGAAAGCGUGGGGAGCAAACAGGAUUAGAUACCCCAGUAGUC
rnacentral:rRNA from 1 species